AUAGUUUAUUUUUACUGUACCUUUUAUAUGGUUAGAGAUGCAAAUACUUAGUAUUGUGUUACAAUUGCCUGUAACUAUUCAGUACAGUAACACUCUGCACAGGUUGAUAGCCUAGGAGCAAUAGGCAAUACGGUAUACCCUAUGCGUGUAGUAGGUUGCAUAAUCUAGGUUUGUGUAAGUACAAUGAAUUCACUUAAGGAUGCAUUUCUCAGUGUAUUCCCAUUGUUAAGCAACGCAUGACUCUGUUUGCUAAAUUGAUGGAAAAGAUUGUUUAUACUAUUUUCAAGUCCAUUAUAUCAUCAUGUUUGAAUAUAGAAUUUUGGAUUCUUAGAAGUGGACAAUGUUUUAAGAACCCUUCAUGCCCUGGCUUCCUGCUUCAUUGAGGCUAAUACCUAAGAGAUCACAAAAAAGGAACUCUUCAUGUAUCAAGUAGUCCUGGGUCCUCCCAUAGCUUUUUGCGGCUUUCUAGACAAAGGAAGGUCACCUGGGCAGUCUAGCGUGAAAGUUAAACAAAGACCUCUGGUCUCCCGGAUGGAGAGUAACCAAUUCUUCCCUUUACAUGAACCAUGAAGCUUAAGAGCUGACUGAAAGAUGUGAGAGAAUUUCUCUUACCUCUUAAGUAGCUGGAAAAUUGCUAACUGUUCUGAAGUGAGCAUGUUUUCUUGGUCAUCUCUUUGGGAUUCUCAGGUAGACUGAAGUACAUCUUCAGAGGACUAAGCCCUUGCAACACAAAGACUGCAGUAUCAAGUACAAAGUCACCACAUCAUAGAACUGGGAUGGAAGUUGAAUUCAUCGUGGUUGAGUAAGUCUGGUCAAAGCUAGUCUAAGUCAGAUGCCUGCUUAAAUGAACAGAUUAUAAGCUAAUUAUUCUACAGGAAACACAAUAGUUUCAUUUGCCUCUUGGUGCUUAAAGAGAAAACCCAUGGUGUAGAUUGGCUCCAAUUAAAUUCAGUGAAUCAAGCUUCCUAUGGAAUUAACCGAACAAUUAUGUCUAGUACUGGUCCAAGCAUGCUCUCGGGGUUUUUGGAUGAUGAUGUAGUGAUUAAGAGUGGCAAUGAUGGGUCUAGACCAUGCAGCCGCAGCUCUGCUAACCACAAAUAUUUCUUUUGAUAGGUAGGGUACAGAGUAACUCGUCUUUAAAAUCUCUAAUGAAAUCCCUAAAAGCACGGAAUAUAAUUAAAUUCAGAGUUUUUCAGGUGAUGGAGGUUGUCUGUGUGAAAAAAUAUGUGGUUCAAUUGGACCAGCUUAAAAAUUCCUUGGUCAGCUUGUCUGUGUUUGUUCUUGGCUGCUUUAGUGCUUUAAAACAGUCCGGUUAAAUCAGACUGUCAAAAUGGUGAGGUUCCUGUUUGAUUUACUCAUGCCAUAUAAACCCACACAGAGUGUUAUGAAUGCCACAUUUGAGAAAAUCUCCCAUUUGUGAAAACAUAUUGGGUCACAUUAAAAAGAAGAUUAAAUGAAUCCCUUUUUCAAAAAGUUUUUGGUAGGUAGAAAGGAAUGCUGAGGUGACGCCUGUGUAAUGGCAGAACUACAGAUGCCUCUUUCUGGUGGAAAUAUGUUCUAUGGGCUAAAUUUCAUCACGUGGCAGGAGGGGAGACUAUAAGAAGCAGGCUUCAAAUUACCCUUAAAUGGGAGGCUGGCAAAUUAAAUCCUGACCUUCAGCAUGGUAUUUAGAGCGCAGAGCAAGAAGCAGCUCACACAUUCUCUAAAGAAACCCUACUGUAAGCUGAGCUGUACCUCAGCUCUGCUGGGCAUACUCUCCUUCACUGUGCUACAUUGUAGAAUACAGGCAAUUGAGUGUGUGACCCACUUAUUUUACUUCUACAGCAUUUACUGCAAGCAUACUUUGUUUGAAAGGUCUCAAUCCUAUUCAAUUUAAAUAGAUUUAUGAGGCCAGUGGAUUUAAAUGCACAAAUAGGUAUAUUAUAUAGAUGUGUCCCAAGUUAGAUAAGAUGAGAUUUUAUAGAAAGGAGAGUGUCUUCCAGACUGGUGUGUGCACCAGUGUCCAGCAAGGUACAUGUAAAGCUCAUCAGAUGACUAAGGGUGACUCUUGAAACCUUAAUUCAUGGGAACAAAGCGCAUUUAUGGUCAAUACUGAACAAGACUCUCCAAUUUCAUAUCCUUCCUCUAAAUAGGACUGGCAGUUAGGCCCUUAAGGAAUGAUUCUAAACAUUUCUAACUCUUUUAUAAAUACAGUGAUAGCAAUUGAAGAAAUAGCUUCUUAUUAACUGAAAACACAACGAUUCUAGAUAGGUGAUAAACAGAAAGCUUUGUUGUGUGAGGUAGCUCUGAGACAACUAUUUUAUUUCUUUGAAAGCAGAAAAAUGACUACAAUUGUCAUGUAUUUUUCGUUACAAUUUUACUGCUUCAAGACGUAAGUUUCACAAACAGUUAAAAGGUUUAAGGAUAUUCCAUUUAUUAAAGCCUUAUUUGUAUUCUUUAACAUAAUUUGCUGAUCAAAUGAGUCCUGUUCAAGUCAUAUCCCAACAGCAGUUCCAAGCCAUUACCAACAUUGCUGCAUGAUUGGGGUUUAAUGGGGUAAAACACAUUCAUGUAGCUUUUCUGUAG